GUGGGGAAUAUUGCACAAUGGGCGCAAGCCUGAUGCAGCAACGCCGCGUGAGGGACGACGGCCUUCGGGUUGUAAACCUCUUUUAGCAGGGAAGAAGCGAAAGUGACGGUACCUGCAGAAAAAGCACCGGCUAACUACGUGCCAGCAGCCGCGGUAAUACGUAGGGUGCAAGCGUUGUCCGGAAUUAUUGGGCGUAAAGAGCUCGUAGGCGGUUUGUCGCGUCUGCUGUGAAAACCCGAGGCUCCACCUCGGGCCUGCAGUGGGUACGGGCAGACUAGAGUGCGGUAGGGGAGAUUGGAAUUCCUGGUGUAGCGGUGGAAUGCGCAGAUAUCAGGAGGAACACCGAUGGCGAAGGCAGAUCUCUGGGCCGUAACUGACGCUGAGGAGCGAAAGCGUGGGGAGCGAACAGGAUUAGAAACCCGAGUAGUCC
rnacentral:rRNA from 1 species